GUCAGCUCGUGUCGUGAGAUGUUGGGUUAAGUCCCGCAACGAGCGCAACCCUUGUCAUUAGUUGCUACGAAAGGGCACUCUAAUGAGACUGCCGGUGACAAACCGGAGGAAGGUGGGGAUGACGUCAAGUCCUCAUGGCCCUUAUAGGUGGGGCUACACACGUCAUACAAUGGCUGGUACAAAGGGUUGCCAACCCGCGAGGGGGAGCCAAUCCCAUAAAGCCAGUCGUAGUCCGGAUCGCAGUCUGCAACUCGACUGCGUGAAGUCGGAAUCGCUAGUAAUUGUGGAUCAGCAUGUCACGGUGAAUACGUUCCCGGGUCUU
rnacentral:rRNA from 1 species